CCUUGUCCCGCGGACCUUACGCGCCCGGACGCCGGCCGAGAUCUCAAGCCAAAGCCCCAUCGCAGUAGCCGUGCCUACGGUCCUAUUGACCCCACGGCGAUGGACCAGAAUUUGCAUGAAGGUUGACUCUUCACGGCCACCUAGUUUAAUCGAGGAAUCCAAAUGAAACCUCACUCAAGGAAGCCAUAAAAUUAUCUCUUGCCAUUGCAGUCCAGUGCCAACUUGAAACGUACACAGAUGCGAAUAACGCUCCGAACACCUGAGGUUUGAAAUCCCAGAGCAAGGCGCCUUUGAUACUCCCAGUGCCUGAGGUCGGCCCCCACGCCCUGUUGUGACACACAUGCCUAAGCACUACGCCUGCAACACGCUCACACUCAGAGAGGUACCAAAAUAGAAGACUGCCAGAAAGAGGUGUUUGGUUACACAUCGCAGAUGACUGUCACAAGCUAAUUUAGCCAAAGCAGUAAAAGCCGCGUAUCCCACACCGUUGUGAAACCAUGAGUUGUGGACAAUGAAACAGGAAUUACCUUCUAUAAUGGGGGGGGGGGGGAGGAGGGAGAGUAAUGACAAGACAUUUUUAAAAAUCGUGUUUCACUGAGGAAAAAGCGUCAAUAUAUUUUGCAGUAAAUUUUGAGCAGUGAUCUUUAUGGACUACCCCCCUCAACCCCACCUCCAUACUUCUAUAUUUAGAAAACUUCUCAAACAAUUGUCCAAGAUGAAAUUUUAAGCUAGAAUAGUGUGGUUUUAAAUUUUAUUUCAAAAUUCAAAUUGAUUUCAGAGUUCAAACUUUACAUUCAGGAAGAUUAUGUGGCAAAAUGAGGCAGAUUGAAUUCCAAAUCUGGCAUGGUUUCUAUGUCUGUAAUAAAUGAAUUAACAUGUAUGUAUUCUACUGCCCUCUCAUGGGUGAUCUGGAGAUAUAACUAAUGGUAGUUAAUGCCUUUUAAAUCUGAGACUAGAAUGUUUAAUUUAGCAAUCUCUAUUAUUUUGAUGACAUAGAGGACAAGGUAGAAAUAAAAUCAGGUUCUCUAAGGGACUUAUAAAUACUCAGCAAACAGAAGUUCAACUUCAGAAACCAGGGAGAGGAUUCUUAUACUAGGGCUAGUAUAAACACGCUGUCAGGAUCACACCCAUGCUUAUAGCUACCUGUGUAGAAUGUGGAAACAUGCAGGAAUUUGCCUUUAUUUUUGUUUUUCCAUUUGAGAAGUCAUUAUUUCCUGAGGUGUUUCACAAAAUGUUCUUUUUCACGUUUGUAUCCACUCAUUCUAUCAUUUCACACUGUGAACAACGGGAGAGUAGGAAUGAAAUCUUAUUCUUUAUACCUUUACUGCCUAGAAUACUACCUGAUACUUGAGCAGUUCAUCAGUAAUUGUUUA